UACGGGGGGGGCAAGCGUUGUUCGGAAUUACUGGGCGUAAAGGGCUCGUAGGUGGCCAACUAAGUCAGACGUGAAAUCCCUCGGCUUAACCCGGGAACUGCGUCCGAUACUGGCAGGCUUGAAUUCGGGAGAGGGAUGCGGAAUUCCAGGUGUAGCGGUGAAAUGCGUAGAUAUCUGGAGGAACACCGGUGGCGAAGGCGGCAUCCUGGACCGAGAUUGACGCUGAUGCGCGAAAGCCAGGGGAGCAAACGGG
rnacentral:rRNA from 1 species